CAUGGUGCACCAUCAUCGACGAAACCCCUUCAUAUCUCAACUCAUGGGUUCUGAUAGGUACGACACUCUACCAUUUCCUCAGCUGUCUCGAGCACUGGAUCGCCAUUUGCAGUGCCUCCUGAAAGUCGAUUUUCAAGUGUAUGGACGUUUCAAAAUCAAAGCGUCCACCGAUGAUGGCCACUCCAUCCCUCCCGUCACUCAUUCUACCACCACCCC
rnacentral:lncRNA from 1 species